UUCAUAUAAUCUCUGUCCCAAAUUACUUGUCUUAGAUUUUGUCUAGAUACGGAUGUAUCAACACUAAAAUGUGUCUACAUACAUCCGUAUCUAGACAAAUCUAAGACAAGUAAUUUGGGACGGAGGGAAUACUUG
rnacentral:pre_miRNA from 1 species